rnacentral:rRNA from 1 species
AUUUUUUGGAGAGUUUGAUCCUGGCUCAGAGUUAACGCUGGCGGCGUGCCUAACACAUGCAAGUCGAACGGAGCGUACCAGAAUAUCGGGCGCUUAGUGGCAGACGGGUGAGUAAUACUUAAGCAAUUUGCCCUCAAAUGGGAGAUAACUCGGCGAAAGCCGGACUAAUACCCCAUAUAAUCCUCCGGAGGCAUCAUCGGGGGAUGAAAGGCCCGCAAGGGUCGUUUGAGGAGAAGCUUGAGACCUAUCAGCUAGUUGGCGGUGUAACGGACCACCA